GAGUUUGAUCCUGGCUCAGGAUGAACGCUAGCGGGAGGCUUAACACAUGCAAGUCGAGGGGCAGCACGGGUAGCAAUACCUGGUGGCGACCGGCAGACGGGUGAGUAACGCGUAUGUAACCUACCCUGUACAGGGGGAUAACCCGGAGAAAUUCGGACUAAUAUCCCAUAGAAAUAUUGGAAGGCAUCUUUUGAUAUUUAAAGUUCCGGCGGUACGGGAUGGGCAUGCGUAACAUUAGCUAGUUGGUAAGGUAACGGCUUACCAAGGCUUUGAUGUUUAGGGGUCCUGAGAGGGUGGUCCCCCACACUGGUACUGAGACACGGACCAGACUCCUACGGGAGGCAGCAGUGAGGAAUAUUGGUCAAUGGGCGCAAGCCUGAACCAGCCAUCCCGCGUGCAGGAAGACGGCCCUAUGGGUUGUAAACUGCCUUUCCAGGGAGAGAAACUUG
rnacentral:rRNA from 1 species